CAACAGGGAUUGCCCCAGUAACGGCGAGUGAAGCGGCAACAGCUCAAAUUUGAAAUCUGGCUCUCGGGCCCGAGUUGUAAUUUGUAGAGGAUGCUUUUGGUGAGGUGCCUUCCGAGUUCCCUGGAACGGGACGCCAUAGAGGGUGAGAGCCCCGUCUGGUUGGACGCCGAACCUCUGUAAAGCUCCUUCGACGAGUCGAGUAGUUUGGGAAUGCUGCUCUAAAUGGGAGGUAUAUGUCUUCUAAAGCUAAAUACCGGCCAGAGACCGAUAGCGCACAAGUAGAGUGAUCGAAAGAUGAAAAGAACUUUGAAAAGAGAGUUAAACAGUACGUGAAAUUGUUGAAAGGGAAGCGCUUGUGACCAGACUUGGGCUUGGUUGAUCAUCCGGGGUUCUCCCCGGUGCACUCUUCCGGCCCAGGCCAGCAUCAGUUCGCCCUGGGGGAUAAAGGCAUCGGGAACGUGGCUCUCUCCGGGGAGUGUUA
rnacentral:misc_RNA from 1 species